UCGUCUCAGUUUCUACAUUCUGUUGGAAAUCCUACUUUUCCUCCAAGGUUUCUGUGAUGCCUGACGUCACCCUGCAGAUGGGCUUUGCCCCAGCCUCCCUCCCGGGGCUCCCGUCCUGGACUCACCACCGACCGCAUCUAUUGCUUUGGGCAAAUUGUCUCCGCUUGCUACACGAGUAUGAACCUGUUCUACGAUCGGGGCUAUUUUAAAUGGCUGUUGCAAGGAAAGCACUUUACGUAGUGCCCUGAAAGGCAACGGUUAACGGAGGAAAAGCACUUUACAGAACGCCCCAGUGUACGGUCAAUUCUCAGUAAAUGGCUUUGUUUUUGCCUUGUUAAGGCGAGAUCCUGCCUCCCACACGCAGAGACGUGGCCUCAUCUUUGCCAGCGUCAGUGGAACCCUCUCUCGGCAAGGCUCUGACUCUGGACCGUGUGCCCGAGACCGCGCCUCCAGUACUAACGAGAGGGUAGGACAGUGGCGAACGACGUCCACCGAGCAGGGACCGAGCACCGCGCUGGGUGGUUUUGCAAGUAACAGCUCACUCACUUCCUACAGCAGCGGCGCCAGCCCAGGAGGAGGUACUGUUCUCCCAUCUUGUGGAUGAGGACACUGAGGCAACCUCUUCCUGGACAUUUGUCCAACUUACGGAGCUGCAAGGCGCGGGCCGUGAGUCCAAGCCUGUGAGUCUUCAGCGAUGCUAACCGCUACCCCCUCUGACGGUUACCCUGCCUGCAAACGUACAAGUAGAUGACCUUUCUCUCCUCGGCUCAAAGAAAGAACAACUCUCCAGGGCUGGCACCAGGAGGGACGCAGGCGAUCAGCGAGCCGGACUGCUCGCGAGCCUGGGAGGGGGGUGAAGCCCGGGAACCAGCCACUUGCACACGUCCGUCCCUACAGCUAAGUGAGUAUUAGCUUCGCAGCUGCAACCGGGGUCUGCCUAGUGUCAAUCCUGCACCCUCUGCCUCCGUCUCUCGCACCCCACAACGCCACGACCCAUCGUCUCCCGUGCAUUAUUAAUUUCCUAUGUGGUUACGUUGUUUCUUAAUACCCAUGUCUCCCCAGUCAACCGUAGCCUUUCCAUAUGGAGUUUCAGAUCCUAUAAAUUAAAUGAGAACAGCAUGUUACACGGGAAUGAAGGAAUGGUUGUUGGAUUUUUUUUUUUUUUUUUUUUUUUGAGAUUACAGUGACUUCGACCCGUAGGUAUUUAUGGAAAAACACUAGGAUAUUUACAAAUGUGUUAAUGCUGGAACUGUAUUUUAAUUGGUUUCAUGAAAGAAAAGGACUUGGAAGCCCUGGGAUUAAUAUAAUUCCUUUGCUAGAAACGAUGAAUUCUUGGCUGGCGUCUUCUGCAGGGGACCGGGUCUGUGAGCCCCUGUGAGGCUGGAGCCCUGGCAGAGAGAAGCCCGGGGCGGCAGAACCCUGGUGUGGCAGGGGGAGCAUCUGAGAGAGACGCCAGGGCUCUGCGCUUGGGGACGAGACAGUUAAAGCCUCCCCGUGCGAGCCAGCUCUAUCACACGGCGCUGGCGACAGGUCAACAGUCUGGCUGGAGCGCGGACGGGGCUGAUGAUGCCAGGCGGUGCCAGGGACCCCGGGGAGCCCUAAAGAGGCUCCCCACACCGGCUUUCCUUCUGCAGCCCGGGGGAUGUUCCGGCAACUGCCUCAUGCAAGGGAACUGGGGCUGUGUCGCUGCUUUCCGGGCGAGCCACGCUGGAGCACUGACGUCCCCGGGCCGAGAGCCCACUGUGGCUGUGACAAAGGGACCCCGGCUGAGAGCCUGCGCAGGUUGACUGUCAAUGGGGUUUCUACGAGUUGCUUACACGGUGUGAGCAGAGCCGCUAGCAAUGAGAAGGCACAGAGGAGCCAGCACGCGCUCAGGAAAGCAGCCGGGCCCUUGAGCGGCCAGGCCUCGGAUGUCAUUCAGGGAGCAACGUUCUACGUGCUCUGUGCUUCUUUGUUGGUCUGUUUGUUUGUUUUUUUCUGGCACCUUCUGUGGCGGAGUAAUGCAGGGGCAUUUGCAGAAACGGAAACCCUCACAUCUUUCCCGACGAGUUCACUGUCUUUACCGAACAAUCAACUUUAAAGCCAUCCGGUUUGUAGAUUCAUCAACAGUGAUCAGCAGUUACACAGAUCCUCUAAGCAAUCAUGAAUAUGGUUUUUAAUUUAUUAAGUUCCUUCUAUAGGACAACCACUGAGCUAAAUACUUUGACUUACUUACCGUAUUAAAACCCUCAAAAUAAUUCUACGUAUUAGGCAUGCUUAUGAUCCCCAUGUUUGUUAACAAACUCAAAGAAAGGUCUGGUGACUCGCAGGUCAGUCAUGGAGCUGACUGUAAACCAUGCCUGCACGUCUCCAGCCCUGGACCUUGGCUGCUGCACGAUGUUGGGGAUUUCAGGCCUGGAAGGGCCCUCAGAUGCCAACCUCUCUGGCUUCUUCCUUGGAUGGAUGGGGGCAGCCUGACGCACGUGGCUCACUGAAGACAAACUAGAAGCCAGAUUGCCUGUGGCUCGGUCCAGUGCCGUCCUAACCACAACAUGUCGCCGAAGGGAAACGACGCAGAGGACGUUCCGCCUGUUCUCUGUCCGUUCUUAAUACGGGAUGGUUUCCCGGCGCAGUCUGCCAUGUUGGCGUGUCUGCGUGUAGGCCAUUGAUUGGAAAUGACAUUCCAUUGAAAACGCCUCUGAGGACCAUACAUGGAUCUCCAGCAGGGAAGGGUUAAAGUUGCAGGGAUUUUGCAGGCUGGAUCAAAUGUUCUUGAGAGGCCAUUCUUCACAUCUUGUUUCUUUAGCACCGGGAGAAGGCGAGUAAUCAAAGGUGACAAGCUUUCUCUGCUCGUCGGGUCCCAUUCCCGGUGCAGGGCAGCCCACAGGCACAUUGAUCUGCAGCGGCAGCUGCUACUGGCCUCCGAUACAGAGAUUCCAGGCCACACGGGGCCUCGUCGUGUUAUUGGAAGGAAGGGAGGAAGGAGUGAAGGCACCACUAUCAGCGAAUUGAGACAAAACCUAUUGUCUGCAACCAUGGGAUUCGGUCGCCUUGAGUACACGUGCAGUGUGAUUUAGCUGCCAUCUCUGCUCAGGGCUCGGAGGUGGAAAGCAAGCGCACUGGACGGUUGCUGGCCUACUGGGAUGUAUUGGGCUGCAGUCUGAAGGGGCUAGGAGGGGCCGGAGGCGCUCCUCUCGGAACAGACACCGAGAGCAGUAUGAGAGCUGCGUUACAAAGGUCUCUGUCUGGAAGCGGAGGAAGACACCUAACGAAUGCCCUUCUCUGCCAUUUUCUCAUGGAUUCUUUUUUUUUUUUUUAAAUAUAAUUUAUUGUCAAGUUAGCUAACUCACAGUGUAUACAGUGUGCUCUGGGUUUGGGGGAGUAGAUUCCGUGAUUCAUCACUUACAUACAACACCCGGGGCUCAGCCCAACGAAGCUACGUUCUGGAAUAGAAGGGGACGGUGGGAAAGGGGGAGAAAAAGAAUCCAUCGACACGUAUGCAUCUGCUGUCUGCGAGGCCCUUCACGAUAACGAUAACCUUAUUAUCGUUAACUACUUUCUAACCACCUUGCAUGAGAGAAGAUGUUUAUCGCCAUUUAAAUAAGGAAGAAAUGAAUUUGGGAGAGGCGGACCAACUUGCCCAAAUCCUACGCCGCAUCUGCAGAAAGAACUGGAAGGAAGGUGUGAUGAGGUUGAGGAUAAGGACAGUCAAGGCCCUUCGUUUCCUUAUGGGAUAUGUCAUAUUCCUUGAGACGUCCUGCAGAGUGGCGUUGAAAUGUUCUGCCACCUCCUCGUCAUCUACGUGGGGCCAAGGGGGACUGAAGAGUCAAGUCGGGAGACCUCGUUUCUCACCUGCACACCUGGAGCCUGGAGCAGACAAUUAGGGGAGCCCUGGAACAGGGGAUCGUGGGUGUGAAUCUGCCAAUCUCUUCGAUGACUUCGGAUAAGUUGACCCUCAACUUUCUUCACCUGGGUAGCGGGGGGGAUGCAUGCUUCUUUCUGAGAGUUACCGUGAGGGAGGUUAAAUAAGACGCCAGCAGAGUGCCUGUUGUCCGCUCAGUGUUACUCGGCUCUUUUCUUCCCCAGCUAUGCUUAGUUAUUUUUCUUUAAUUCAUGCCAUAGGGCACCUCUUUGAGAUCCAAGACACUACCCUCCUUUCAUACUACCGGGACCCCAGAAACAUGCCUCCGAAGGCAAUGUAAACAUAGUACUUAUGCCACAGAUAUUUAUUAUUAGUAUUGUUUUUAAGUGGCUUUGUGGCAUUUGAAAUACCGUCUACUGUGAUGGGAACCCUAUUAAACCUUAAUUCCUUUCUUAGAAGCCUCCAAAUCUAGCCACACUGGGGAUUCCAGGUGGAGGCGUGGGCAGGAGGAUUCAGCUGGUGACAAAGGGUGAUAAUCAGCCUCUGAAAACAGACUCUCGCAUGCCCUCAGUUUGAGUGGGGGCCCCGGCAAUCCUUUCUCUAUUUCUUGGGUUGAUGGACAAAAGGCGUAUCCCCAGGAUUUUAAUCUUCAUUCACCACUCCUUCCAAGCCUCCACCUUUUUGUUUGCGUGUUUGCUAAGGUAAGACCCCACACUGUGCUUUUCAGCGGCAGCAGUCUAUGAUUCUUCAUAUGCAGGGAUCCCUCCAAUGCUAAGGAGGAGAUUAAAAUAUCUCGGACCAGCAGUGUGCCUGGCAGGGGCUGCCUGUGUGUCCCAACCCCCAGUCAGCAGGAGCAGCACGUGUUGGUGACUUCUUCAGAGCUAAUGUUAAAAAGUGAACUCACAGGCCCUGAAAAGAGAUACGUGUAUAAGCAAUUGAAAAGAAAAGAGUUGAUUUGUGGCAAAACAGGGCACGUUUUUACGCCAAAGCCAAAUGUUCAUUUUACUCAGCACCCCCGUGUUCCUCUGUAUCUGUACCUAAACACACACACACGCACGUGCACACACACACACACACACACACGUGUGUCCUGUGUGUGUGGGAAUAUGCACACAAUCUUCGUAUUUGAUACACAUAAAACAUAGACACAACCCAAUCCAAACCAGCUGUUGGGAUUCAAGUCCAAGAGUAGAACAUGAGACCCUCCAGACAUGUGAACAUAAGUGCAGAGCAGAAAUUCAACAAGAUGACACCCCCCCUUCCCCCACCCCCACUGUGUGUAAUCCUUUCUCUCUCAUAUUUUUAUAUAUUUUACACCCGUGGAUCUUGAUGAACUUAAGCCCGGGCAUUGUACAGGUUCCAGAUUUCAAAUGAAUAACUCUUUCAUUUAGUUAAUAGCUGCAGCAGAGCCAUAAAACCAUAAUAGUUUAUGACUUUCAGGAUAUAACCUGCAACCACAGACAAUAUAAAUUAUAUUACAUUGCACUUUAUAGCCGUAUGAAGCACACACAAGACCUCACCGCUGGUGUGAAGGCUGGGGAGUGGGGGUGGGGUGUAAUGAAUUGUUUGUUUGUUUGUUUGUUUGUUUGUUUUCCUUCUUGGCUAAAAAAACACCUUCAUCCUAUGACCCAGCAAGCCGUCAUUCUGACCGGAGGCCUCCACAGCCGCGGUGCUGAAUGCCAUUGCGACCACAAAAGAAAGCUGUUGAUAAAGGAUCGAGGUGAAUAUUUUCAUAUCACUCUUAACUUACGUUGUUGCUUCCAGCACACAUGGAGAAGCCACCUCCAUUUCUGCCGUAGGCAGCCAUCAUUAUUUUCGAGAUGUAUGUCAUCGGCAACGCAAGGUACUGGACGGCGGACAGAACGGCCCUGUGGCCAGACUCGCCGGUAUUUUUGUGUCGUUCUACUACGUAUUCAGAAGAGGCGGGAUGAUGUUAUCCUCCCUCAAUAGCUCGUGUGGCUUCUAAAUCCGGCCUCGCGUCUGGGCUUAAGGUUCGGCCUCUGAACCGAGAGCAGAGUAGGAACCCUGAUUGUGUAAAUGGACCGUCUAAAUAAAAAAUGAAGAUAAUCGAGCUUCAGAAAUUGUUAAGGGCCAGAGGGAGAGAGGAAGGCAGCCCAGCUUUUGAAAUGAUGACAAGGCACUCACUUCUUCCUUGCACCUGCUGCCUGCGAAGUGCUGUGUUACUGAAGAGGCCCGCGGUCCGAUCUGCAUAUCAAAUAGCUGAUUUGUGGAUGAGGUCAUUCCUUUUGUGGUCUGUCUGUUGCAGGCACUGGGGAUGGGCUGUUGCCUAGCAGUGGGCCACAGGGUCCCGCAGGCUCCUGGGGUCACUCGGCAGCCCCUCACCCAUUCUAAAUUCAGAUCCAGGAUUGUUUUCAUGAAUAAAUCUCGGAAAUAGCCAAUGCAUGGCUAAGUUCAAAGCGUGGGUGAUAUAUGACCAGCGAGGCUUUUCUCUAAUGACUUUAGUACAUCAGAUUAGGUAUUGUAGGAGCGAAAGGGUCGUCCAGUUGCCUUUCUGUGUCCUUCUCACUAUCACACGAUGGGGCGACGCCUUAGCGCAUAAAUAUGGUACCCACUUUCCGCCUGCCCAGGUAGAGCUUAUUGUGUGAUGCCAUGGUGAAAAGAUAAAUUAAAACAUGGUUCUCUGUGGACUAUGAAAAUAUGGCAAAAUCGGAUUUGGAUAACCGAGUGCAACUUUUAAGAAAGCUUUGUUACUCUUAGUUUGCUGUUAAUCUGUUGGCUCUUGCUAUGUGUGUGUGUGCACGUAGACAUGCGCGUGUGCAUAUUCAUGCACACACACACACGUAUAUUUCAAGCUGCGGCUUUUUCCACUAGACACCUGCAAGAGAAUAAAACGGUGAAUAAAAAUCAGCGAAGGCCUUGAUAAUUGAGUCUUUGUGCGCUUCUCAAUACAGAACACUCUCUUUUACCUGGCCUGAUUCUUCCAACUGUAUUUUUCCAUGGCUGCAUGGGCUUUGACAAGUAGAGAAAUUUCCAGAGCAGCAUUCUCUUUUGAAAAUUAGGAAUCCGAAAGUGAGACCAAAAUUUAGUCCAAAUGCAUUUAGGAUGAAGCCCCUAGGUUAGAGGUAUGAGUCUAGUAGUAGAUGCUUUCUUGGGAUAAACAUCUUCUUUUGUUAUAUUUCCCGGAUUCAUCGGAGCCUUUCAGUUUCCGACGGCUGAUUCUAGCCACAGCAGUAGCUUUUCAGAUUAGGGACAUCCUAUCGUGGUAAGGAAAAUCGGUCAACAUAGCCGUGAAUAGCUAUAACGAGGCAAGGACAACGGUAAGAGGGAGAAAGACUGGUACUCACGAAUUGGCAAGAGAAGUACCACCUGCCAAAGGUGUCACCUCACGAAUGACCUUAGGUACCUUCCCUGGACAAGGAAAAUCAAACUAUGUACGAGACACGAACAUUUGUACACUUAGAAAAUUGAUUUCAAUUAAGCGUGGUCAGUAAGGGAUGUUUUUCCGGUUGCGGGUGGGCAACGUAGGGGUAAUAAAAAAUAUGCCUGUAAAUGCUGCUUUUCAUGCUUUUGAAGAUUAACGAUUCUGAAUGAUACUGAGGUAUAUUUUUUUAAUGUCUCGCAAAACAGACAUGAAAGUAUAGAAACAGAAAUAGAAAUAGAAAUAGAAAUUAUAGACAUGCCUCGUAUCUGCUUAAGAGUUUAAACGCCAUCGUUCCCUUGCAAAUAUUUCACUUCAUUUGAACCUCCCUUUCUUCAGAGGCAGAAACUGGGGCUCUCGAGGGGAUGACUUAUUCAGGGUCCCUGACUUAUUCAGGGUCCUUUUGCAAACACAGAGCCAAGGAAGGAUUUGGUCUCUGCCGUGCCAUUACGUUUCCCCAACAGCUAACCCUGGAUGGACAUCUAUCGAAAAUUAUGGCUGAGCACAUUAAGAAAUACUGUUUUAAAAUCAUUAUAUAUACACAUAUGGCAUCUAUAUCAGAUGUCUAUCAAAUAGUGCAUGUGUAAAGAAUCAGAAAGCAAUUCACAUUGUUUUCAAAGCGGCAUUUUGUUUUUUAAAUACACAUAUGCACAUAAAUGAAAUAUGGUAGCCCUUAAACCUCGUUCAGGAAAUACAGUCUGGUCUUCUAUGUCGUGGAAGUCAGGAGACAUCAGUUUCGUCGAGAAGUCUGUGUACUAAAGAGCUAUCAAAUCCUGACCAGCAUUAAUUAAUGAUGCGUUCUUGUAUCUGCAACAUCAAAUAAUAGAAACUUAGUAAGGCGAGGUACCCCGAAAGCCCGGAAGGAAUCAAAUUUGCAUCUAGAUAUAGCCUGAUCUUUGACCCUCUUUACACACCGAAAACCCUUUGAAAUUGAGGCUCUUGGCCACAGAUUAAUGAGCCAUAGGCGGGCCUGAGGGCCUGGUGAUGAUGCUCGGAGAAUUUAUGCAAUUCAUACAGCAGUGAAGAGGUUAACUUCAACCAUCUCCUAGGGAACCAGCAGUGACAGCCCGACACACAGUCCUGGGAGAUUACUGGUCUGCUGUUUAACAAAGUAAAUUUUGAUUGCUGUUGAUUUUUUUUUUGAGUCAAUUUUUUUUUUCUUUCACUGUAUUCAAGCCAGUGCCAAGUAGCAUGUUACAAAUGCAGGGAUAUUCUCCAUGCUAGAGAGAACUCGAGAUUUAAAAACAUCAACAAUGGCAGUAUUUGUAAAAAUGCUCCAAGCCUGUGUUUACUUACAACAGCUAAGAUUUGAAUAUUUGUGAUGUAGAAUCACCACAGGGAAAAAUAGCCAAGGUGCGUCCGUCCGCCUCGUGAAGCGAUUUCUAAACCUGCAUCCACGUUCCCCACUCAUGAGGAAGGGUCCAUUUCUGCAAAUCACACAUAACUUGAUUUUAAGGCGUUGGGUAUUCCAUGCUGUGUUUGAUAUAUUGGCUAGGGCUUUUUUUUUAAGCCAUCGUCUUGAUUUUUAGAGUCGGCCAAAGCAGACAUGUAGGUAAGUCCCAUUCACAGAUACACACACACAAAAGAUUUGUUCAAAGUUCCUCAAGCGUCUCCCCCUCGUCCAAAUCUUUCCUGGGUACCGUGGUGUCGACAAGAGGUAACACAACGACACGUGCAUUUGAGCUUAAUGAGUGAUUCAUCUGCAGGCAGCGAGGGUCAAGAUAAAUCCACGGCAAAACAGUUCAGGUUGGAGAAGGAAUAUAAGGAACAUUUUUCUUUAUCGUGCUGCCUGAUAAAGAACCGAUCUCUCCUUGCAUAAACCCACAGCCGCCAACGUGACAACGAUGUGCACCCUUGUGCUCUAAGAUUGACUUUCUCCAGAAUGCGUUUUGUUCUCCCACCUGACACCCAUCGGUCAGCCUCCUUGGCGUGGGUUUUGUUUGUUCCUCGGCUAUCUGAUCAUUGUCCCCCAAAUACUGGAGAAUGACUGAAGUCCCCCCCAAAAAAUUAAAAACAAAAUAAGACAAUGAUUUGGAUGAUAAAUUGCAGGGCGCCUGUGGGUGUGGCCCUGGGCCUCGGCAAAGAUGGCACCACGAGUGAGAGCUAUUUCACAACAGCAGUUGUGACCCCAGAAGUGACCGAGGGGUGGGCCCUGAGGAGCUUUCCGACCAAAAGGCCAGUGCUUGGGGUCCGCUCCAGGAACCCAGGAGGCUGUUAUCCUACAAAAGAGCUUUGUGAAGCCAAAUCUUUAAUUCCAAGAGCAAUGCCUAAUUUAUACCCCGCAGCAGGCUGGGUAUUCUGCCUCUGCUAUUUUUACACCAUUUCUGGGGUAUCCCUUUGUUGUCGUAGAUACCAAUGGAGAAUCAAAGGCUGGCUUUUCCCCACCCCCUGGUCAUCACCCAGCAUUCUGUCAUCCUCACUCUGCUUGAGAUUAGAAAAAUCAACAACACGAUCCCCAGAUCUAAUGAAGAGACAACGCUGAGGAAUGUAUGUGAUUUUUUUUUUUUUUUUUUUUUUUUUUUUGCACCGAGCAGAUAUUCUAGUAGUAAAUUCUGUGACGUUCCCUACAUCAAUGGUGCAUAACCAUGUGCUUUUCUUAAUAGGAUUUAUGCUUGUCGGCUCUCUAUAUGCCCUGCCAUGCUAGAUAAAGGGAAGGCUGAGUCCCCGCAGUAACCAUAGCCACUGCAGUGCUGGCAAAUUCCUCCUAAGCAUAAAACAGGCAACGCGAGGGAAGAAGCCGUCCGCUUAUACAUAAACAUGACAGACUCCUAUCUGGAAGCCGAGGGUAUCUAGCCUCCAGAUUGCAUUCAGAUUUCCUGACGGUCGGGCCAGCUCCCCCUCUUAAAUCCUCCCUUUGCAACAUCUGCCGCUGGACCACAAGGAAACCUUCCCUCUUUCCAGACUCAAACCCACUUCCAGCCAAAUGUCACCCGGACUCCACGGAGGACGGAGGGAGGAGAAUUGUCGACGCGUCUGCUCUGACUGCAAAGGUUAUUUCACUGUCUUCGAGAUGACUCUUGAGCAGCCGGCAGCGCUUAGGACGGCCGGGCACCCUGAAUGCGCGGGUUGCUAGGAGAUAACUCCAGCUUUCAGCCGGCAUUGGCCGGAGUUAUCUCUAAUUGACAGCUCCUUACCCUAAGGGUCUAAUUCUAACCUUGAGACCGAGACGAUAAUGAGAGGGCAGCUUUGCCAUCACCCUGCUUCUGGCGAAGGCGAGGAGAUUACUGGCCGCCUGUUUUUCUGGGGUUUUGUUAUGCUUCUUAGGACGGAGGCAAUGAGAGACACACUGGGGCUGCUGUCUGCAGCCCGGCUUUGUGUCACUUGGGGGCUUGUUUGAUUCAUGCCACCUGAAUAAACUUGCGCUUUCUGUUCAGAUGGUCUCCCUUUGAAAGGAGAAGGGCACGCAGGGAGGAGAAGCCUUUGCUGCACUUUGAAACGAUUUGGAAUUUGAGCAGGGAAGGUGGGUUUCUUUAAAAGGGCGGGGAGGGGGGAGGAGAGGAGGGAAAGAAAAGGGAAGAAAACACUAGAUCCCCGUGUUCAAGCGCUCGCUCCUCCCCCCAGGGUCGUGAAUGGCUCUCCCUGCAGUCUCUGCUGCUUGUAAGAACUUAUUUAGGACUGGGGGUGGAGGGGGGGCGCGGUAAAGCCAGCAGCAACAGACAGGAAGAGACGGGCAGGCCCGCAAAAGGGGGUGUUACCAUGCGGCCCAUCCCGCAAGGCUGCUGACUUAUUUUGCGAAAGCAAACAGGGUAGAUCCGCGCCAUCAAUUCAUGUCCAGCCUGAAGCUAAGCCGGCCCGCGGGCUGAGGGGUCCUCUGCCAUCUAUUCAGCGACACAGUGGGGCGGGGGGUGCGGGGGGGGGGGAGGAUUCCAGGGAGCCGGCUGGCAGGUCAGCAAGGAGAGGCCCUCUGAUUCCAGGAGACACAAUUGCAGUCCAGUCGCUCGCUGUUCCUCCCACAGGGCCUCCCCCCUCCUCUGCACACCCGCAGCCAGUGGAAACACUCAGGCCGGUUCUGCAUUUCUGAACCCGAAGGUUGCCAUUUCACAGAUAGCACACCUCGAGUGCCGCGUUUCCCGCCAGCACCGGCGUGGUUUUCGCUGAUGGUGAGCGGGUCUCUGGAAUAUUUCAAACGGAGAAAGGCCUCCAGAGUCCAGACCCGAGAGGCUCGGAGACCCUGCUUUUGUCCUCUGCGAUUCUGCAUCACCCGGACACCAAAAGGCAUGAGUUUUCAAGCCAACAGAGGGAGAGAGGGGCGAAGGCCAAAGACCAAACCCGAAGAAUAUCCUUCGGCAAAAUAUUGUGCUAUUUUCCCUCUAUUUUCUAAAUAUUUUUCUUGAGAUUCCUGCAAAGCAGGGCUGUUUCUGAAGGGGGAGGGGUAUUAUUUUCCAAUGCAACCUUUGAGGGAGGAAAACAAAAAAACUACGAGAGCCACAACUCCCUGGAGUUUUAGUAACAUUUUAUUUAAUUUAUAAAUACAGUUUUUUUUUUUUUUAAAGCGCGUAUCUAGGAAAACAAGGAAAAAUGUUAAUGACCAACACAGUCAGUAAGUGAGGACUUUCUUCUCGAAUGAUUUUUUUUUUUUUGUAAAUUGCGGAUUUUACUUAAAUAUCAGUUCAAUUUACAGAAAGGCUGUAAGAGCACUGCAAACAUUGCACAACCUUUAUAGACCCAACAAUUAUUCACCUUUUGCACACUGUUCUUACCUUCUUUCUGUGUGUGUGUGUGUGUGUGUGUGUGUGUAUUUACUGAGUUUUAUUUUUCUUCUUAUUUUUCAUUAUCUUUUAUCCUUCCAGACACAUUUGGUAAGAAGCUGAACAUGACAUGUCUCGUUACCUCUAAAUAUUUCAUUCUGUUUAUCCUAAGAACAAGAAUAUUCUCCUACAUAAUCCCUGUAUAAUUAUCCAAAUCAGGAUAUUUAACAACAAUGCAAAACCACCAGCUAAUUCAAAAUCCAUGAUCAAAGUUAUGUGUUGUCUCAGAAAUGUCCUUCAUUGCUAUGUUUUCCCAGGUCUGGAUCAAUUCCAAACCUCACAUUACAUUUAGGUGUCCACGGGAGGUUUGUAAUCAUCUCACCAAGAAAGGUCUAGAAAGUUCACAGUGCCACAUUGCAGGACAUUUUCAAUCUUCAGUUGUUUUGAAUAUAAAACACUUGGGGGAAAGGAGACACCUCCAGAUGGGUCAGGGUGCUGGUUCUGAGGAGUUCCAUUAUGCAGAAGAUAAAUCCUGACUUCUCUAAAGAGAAACGGGGCCCUUAUUUUCACAUACGACCUCAAGCAAAUACCAACAAUGCCAAUGUAAAACAAAUGUUUUGUUAAAAAAAUCUUGAUCUUACACAAAAUGAGAAGUGCCACUCAUGACAUGAGAGCUGGAGAAAUCAGCAUAUUUCUGAAAGAUUCUUACACAUGGGCUUUUAUUAGUGUAGACACUUCUCCACCCCAGACAGGGGGAAGGAGAUAGGAAGACAGUGAGUGACAGAGACAGCGUGGAAAUUAUAAACGGAAUAAAUAAUCAGCUCAGGAUGCAAAGAAAUAAAUAAUGCAUAGAGAAACAAGGGAAUUUUUAAUUUAAAAAAUGAAGUUUUUGUAUUAUCUUAUUAUCAUGAAUGUUCUCCAUAAGGGGGGAUCGUGUUGCCAUUGCGAAUAUUGUCUUGCGGUUCUGGUCGUGGACCUGUUUGGGGUCCAAGAUGCCUGUGCCCCUCUUGUGCCCCCCUCUCCCAGAGGAGGGGAUGAUCACCCUUCUCCGUGAGGUUCCGGCUGUGUAACCGAGCCAACGUGAGUUCUCUCUGAGGUGAGUUGUAAAAACACACCAGGUGUACGUCAUAGAGAUUUGAUAUUUCCAUACAUCAUGAGAUGAUCCCAGUGAUAAGUCUAGUUACCACCUGUCAUCUUACAAAAUGAUUACUAUAUGAGUGACCAUAUUUCCUCCGUUGUACCUCACAUCCCAUGUCUUCCCUAUUUUGUUGGUGGAAGUCUGUGACCUCUUAAUUCCCUCACCCAUUUUGUAGGGAAAGGGGACUAGUAAAAUUAGACCCCGAUGAUAAGGCAUGAGAAGGAACUAUGUUUCAAAUGCACGUCUACAUGGGAGGGGCUCCUACCUAAAAACCAUGUUAUGAAAAGGGCCCACAGAACAAAUGUGUGUCCUUGGAGAGUCUGGUUGCUUUAAGUUAAGAGCACAUCUGGGGGUUUUCUGCACAGAUUGGAGUCAAUUAUAUCUUAUCUCUAUAUGGAGUCAUUCAACAAGCACACCCUGUUCUCGGUCAUGCCUAUGACCCUUGCCAUGGCUCGUGUGGCAGUGUCUGUAGACCAGCAUUCAGGAAAGGCCACCCAAGCCACCAGCGUGCACGGAGCUUACCCUAGAACUACCUCUCCACUAUCGACAGAGAGGAUCUCAGGCCAACUCACAGAGGAACAAAAGUGCUCAAUGAAUACUUACUCUCAUUUGUAACCUC